AGGGCUCAGGCUGCCAAGGACUGAGUUCCCCCAAAACUCAAGGAAGGAGGGAAAGGUGUAGUAAGAGAAGGGAACCCCUUCCCCAUUUUCCUCACCCAUUCUUUCCCUGCCAGCCAUUUUCUUUGUGUUACCCUAGUUGACUUAAUUUAUAUUAAAGUGGUUAUCCUUUCCCAAAUUUGACUCAAGUGUGAGUGGGACAGCUUGAAGGGAAGAGACGUUGUCCUGAGAAAAAACCUUUAGGGCCUAAAGAGUGGAGGGGGACAAGAGUUAAUCUGUGAGAGCAACCAUAUUUGAGAAGGGAGGUUGAAGGGGGAAAUUAAUUAAAACCCACUCUUCUCUCUCUGAGCCAACCUUAAACUAUCAGCUGUCUCUCCUGGAUCCUGUUUUCUCUUUAUCACCCAUGAACCCCUCCAUUACACCCAAAACUGAAGGUCUAUUUAUUAAAUGUCUCAUAUUCUGGGUAUUGUGCUAGGUACUAGAAACAGAAAGACAAAAAUGAAAUGAUCUGUGCCUUAAAAGAAUUGAAAACCUACUGUUCAUUUAUAACAUAGGAUCAUAGUGUAUCAUAGACAGGAGGGAUAUAUUUAAUAUGAAGGAUGGAUUUAGGACUAGAUAAUUUCUCUUAUCUUUAUAACCUCUCAAGCCUCUCUAAGACAAGAAGAACCCUAAUGAAGUAACAUGAUGAAUUAACAGUAUAGAAAGCUAAUCUCUAAUCCCUAGCAAUCUCAAUCAGCAUUUCCUCCUUAUUUAGCUACCAUGCUUGGGCAGGGCUGUUGUACAACAGAACUUAGCUUCUUCUUCUACUCCAUCUUUCUGCCUUGGAAAACCAAAAGGCUAGGACUGCAGUAUAGCAUUGUGUUGUUUUGAAAAAAUGCUUAGCCAGGGAACUGAGGAACAAAGGUAACUGGACAGGAUGCCAGCCCAAGUAUGGAUCCAUCAGGGUUGUGUCAAAGGUGAUCUGAACCCUCCAGAAGUCACUUGGGAAAGAAACUGAGGCUGUCAAAAUGCAAAUUACCCUAUGUAGAAGGAGGCUUAGACAACUUUGAGGCCUGACCCUAGGACAACUGCCAUCACAGGGGAAGGAGCCAGACAGUGAAUGAUAGGUAUAUAAGGGGGGAGGGGGAAUAACAAAAAUGCCAAAGAUUUUAGAAGAAAGAAAACUCAGUUAAAAAAUUUGAGCAGAAGCCACAAGCCAAUUAACCAAUAAGGAAGACAUUAUUAACAAAAGAGAAGAUAGGCACUAGAUUACCCAAAUAAGUCUAGACAUCUAUAAAUAAAUACAAUAAAAUGAAGGUAAUUGAACUGGUAUCUGAUGAAACAGAGGACUCUUGGAAUCCUCUAGUGAGCAUGAAAUCACAGCAGAAUAGUAUCCCAGAAAGGAUUAAAAGAGAAAUAAGAAUUGUGAAAGCAGAAUUUAUGGUAAGAGUACCAGAAUUAAUUGUCAGAAUAGAAAAACUUGAAUAUAUAGAGGCUUAAACAUCUCCAAAGAGAGAAAGAGAGAAAGUGGAUUGGAAAUGCAAAUGCAGAGAAGUGAAAGACAAUCUGAAAGAAGAGAAGUGAAAAGAAAUAACUUUAAAAGAAAACAUAGUCUCUAUAGAAGUGAAACAUUUAUUUCAAAGACAGGCUACAUAGAGACAAUUUAAGUAUUAUAGGUCUCUCAAAAGAACAUAACAAGCCAAAAACUUUGAACAUCAUGGACACAAGAAAACUGCCCAGAAAUCCUGAACACAGAAAACAAAAUACCAAUCAAAAGAAUCUAUCGAUUGCCUAUAUGGGGAAAAAAUACAGUACUUCAAACUCCAAGAAAACUAGUGAUUAAAUUUAAUGAUUCCAAUGACAAGUGUCAAAUUCUGAAAGUCUGCAGGACAAACAGCUAAAAGGGACCUUCGAGGCCAUCAGCUCCAACUUCUUUGCUCUACAGGUAAGUCUAGCCCCUUUUAGACCUUUCCCUUUUCAGAAUGUAAGGAUAGUUUAUAAAGAAUGUGAAACUAUGAGUGGCCUAUGUGUGUAGUGGGAUAGUUAACAAGGAACCAAAGUUAGAGGCCAUUGAUUUGUCUCUGGGGUGUUAGAUCACCUUGGUUCUUUUUCUCAUCUACUUCUUUACGUGAUUAAAUGAGAGGGACUUUGAAUUUGGAAACUAGGGAACUCCAGACCCCUAAAUUAUUUGGUGAUUUUUGAGCAAAUGGUUAUUACUUGGUUUAUGACCUAGUUCAAAAAGAUGGGAAGUAUAUUGGGUAGUCACCAUAUGCUAGGGUGAGAUCUCUGACCAAGGGGACCCAGACUUGUGAUAGGAAGAGUUGUUGAAAGGAAAGACUGAGGCUAAGGCAUUAGCUUGAGUUCUUAAUGAGAUAGCAGACUUCUUUCUCAGGGAGUAGAACUAGGGAAUCAUCUGCUAGUUCUAGAAUAAGAGUUCCUAUUCUUUCUGGAACAGCACAAAAGUUCUCUAGGUAAGGAUUUCAGCUGAUUCAGAAAUUAGAAGUUACUAAAAUCAAGCAAUAUCCAAAGGAAUAACUUUCAAUGAAUACUAUGAAGCCAAGAAGUAGUCUUCAGAAAGCUCUUUCCAAGGGGCAGCAGUGAGUAUAGAGGACUGCCACACUGCACAGAAAAGGAGGACCCACAGAAAAAGGGCUGUGGAUCAAGGAACAUCAUGAUUUCUGUGGAAUCAGAAUUACAGAUGACCCAAAGGGCAAUGAAAAACUUUCAUGGCAGAAGUGAAUUCUGUUGUACUGUCAGCAAAGAUGGAUUACAUCAAAAGAAGGAUAUAAGACAUAUCACUAGAAGUGGCUGGUAGAAGUGAGAGAUAACAGAUGGACACAAAUGAAAAAAUAGGGAAAUCCUUAAUAAAGGAGAACUGCUGCUUGGCAUCCUAACUAACAUGUCACUUCCAUCUUAAAGAUUUCAUUCUGACACCAAUCUGAUACCAUGCAGACCUCAUGUUCUAUGUCAGGAUUUUG